CUUUAAUCUCAGCACUCAGGAGGCAAAGACUAAGGUAGGGCUCUGUGAGCUCAAGGCUAUAUAGUGAGACCCGGUCUCAGAGAAAAAGAAAGAAGAAAACAAUGGUUCUAUAUAUCUCCCUAAAUUACUCAUCACCCUCUUAAAACAAGAACUUGGUUACCUAGCCUGGGACUUGGGGUUCCAGCCAUGAGUAGGAGCUGAAGGAGGAAGAGUAUAGAGUCCAUAAUGUGAUCCCUUAGUCUUGAGAGAGUGGGAUGGGGCUGCCUGCCUUCUACCAACUGUCAGCCCCUUGUGCUGUGUGGAAGGGACUCCACUCCUCCUUCUUCAGCUCUGUCUUCCCUGUCCUUACCCAGCAUGCUAGGGCUGGUCACUUCCCUUGUCACUUCAGCCUCAGGGAGCUUCAGAGCAGACCUGGAAUAACCACACGUAAGCACCCAGGCGUGAACAUGCUCACUUCAAGGCCACAGCACACUGGGGAGCACUCUCACCCCAUCUCGUUCACAGCUUCAGGCCUGCAGGAACAGGAGCUGGCCAUGCUGGCAGGAGCCCCACCCACUCCUCUCUCUGUCUGUCUCUGUCUGUCUCUCUGUUGUCUGUCUCUGUCUCUCUGAUUCUUUGUCAUUGUCUGUCUCUCUGUCUCUGUCUGUCUCUGUCUCUUUGUCACUGUCUGUCUCUGUCUCUUUGUCACUGUCUGUCUCUGUCUCUCUGUGUCUGUCUCUAUGUCUCUGUCUCUUUGUCACUGUCUGUCUGUCUCUGUCUGUCUCUGUCUCUUUGUCACUGUCUGUCUCUGUCUCUUUGUCACUGUCUGUCUCUGUCUGUCUCUCUGUGUCUGUCUGUCUGUCUCUGUCUCUCUCUGUCUCUUUGUCACUGUCUGUCUCUGUCUGUCUCUCUGUGUCUGUCUUCUGUCUCUGUCUCUCUCUGUCUCUUUGCCACUGUCUGUCUGUCUCUCUGUGUCUGUCUCUCUGUUUCUCUCUGUGUGUCUCUCUCUCUCUCUCUCUCUCUCUCUCUCUCUCUCUCUCUCUCGUCCACACCAGCUUCACUAGGGAUGAGCAGACUACAGCCUCAGCUUGGCCACCUCCUUUGAAUCUCUACACGCUCUGAGCUUCUGUCCCUCCUGUUAUCUAAUCCAUCCACCUGCCCAGCACAAACGGGAAGAACCCCACAGCAUCAAGCUCUAGACUCCACCAGGCUUGUUUAUAGGGUGUAGAGUGGGGUACAGAUCCGAGCCCUGCUGACCUCCUUGGAAUGGGCCCUACUAAAUAAGACAUCUAAUAGAUGUCAACUGCGUGCUGUUUCUCAGAGGUCCUGUCAGUGAAGUUUUCUGGUCCUCCGUGUUUUGAGAAGACAAGAACUCACUGUGUAGAGCAAACUGGCCUGGGUCUGACAGAGAUUCUCCUGCCGCUUCCUCCAAUCCUCUCUUUCCUCAUCUCCUCCUCCCUCUGCCCUCCUCUCCCCAUCCCCUUCCAUUCUGUUUCUGUCCCCCCACCACACACACACACACACACACACACACACACACACACACACACACACCACCAGUCUUUCUACUUAUGAAGCUCAAGCUGGUUUCAAACUCGUGACAAUCUUCCUACCUCCGUUUUCUGAGUGCAGGGAUUAUUAUAGGACCGCGCCACUAGGCACAGCUUUGGUAUAGGGGAGGGCUAGUUUCUCCCCAAAGUUCCAAUGAGGAAAGCAAAAAAUCUAGAGAAAUCUCACUCAAGAGGUCUGCAGAGCAAUUAAAGGCCCAUUCUUGUCAAGAGACCAGGUCUCUGAGACUGCAGAUCCCUGAACACCCAGAAGCACCCUUUCACUCCCUCCGUUUUGCAAUACUCCGGGACCAAGGACCAAAAUGAGGACGAAGGCGGGAACCAAAGGUGCCUGCCAGCCUUGAGCCGGCAGCCUCCCAGAACCAACUGGCCUCACUGCCCUGUGUUGCCAUGGAAACAGCCCCUGCGGGCAUUGGCGGUCAAAAGCAGGAUUUCCGUCGGGGCUGCCAGCAAUUCCCGGAUCCCGACGGGGACGCAGACCUAGACCGCCGCCACGGAGAGGGAAAAGCACCCAGGGAGGUCUAGUACCCAGGUUCUGGAGUCUCCAAGUCCCAGAUCAAGACUCAGCAGGGCUGACUUCCACUAAGGGCCAGUUGUCAGAAUUUCAUAUAGCUUCCUUCUGUCUCCUUGACCUCAUGUGGCGACAGCAAGCCUUCUGGGAUCUCCACUGGAUAGGUCUGCACUAGUCCAGACAUCGCAGUCCUUCAGCACGGGCAAAAGGGUUGUACUAUGACCAAGGCCUUGAGGACCAUUGACUCCUGUGGUCUCCAAGGCUCUGAGUUUUGCACUUUUAGCUCCUGCAACUUUCGGUACCCCAUGAGAUCCGCAGCCAGGAGCGCUCAGUCUGAGCUUACAAGAGGUGUCAGUGGCUGACAAGAGGGAAAGAGGUGUGUGCCAGCUGUAAGGAAUGUUGGACCCCCUGGGUAUAGUUCCUGUCUACGACAUCACUUGCUACCUCCCCUCCCCCAACUCUCCCUUUGACAAGUGCCUGUUAAAAUGUGCCAACUCCUGCAGCUGCUGUUCACUCCACUGCACUUGGCCCUUCCCUGGUGACUGGGAUGGUGUCCCAGCCCAUCUCCCUGCCAGAGCACCCCUGCUCUCACUCACACACCCCAGGGCGUGCACAAUGCAAUGAAAUGGCGUCCCAAUGUCAGGAGUGAAACAUUUCCCUUCUGACAAGUUUGCGUCUGUUCCUACCUAGAAACCAGUCCUUUAGCCACUGAGACAAAGGCUCCCUGGGAGUCAGGCAGCUCUGGGAUUUAGGUGGGUAGUUAUGGACCCUCUCGGCAGGCUUCUUGUCUUUAUCAGUUUGGGAGGAGAGAACAUAGUGUUUGUCCCUCAGACUGCCAGGUCACUUGGUUUGGUUUAUGUCCAGGCUUGGAGGCCCCGUGAUGAGCAAAAGAAGGACGGGAAGAGAGAAGACUCUUAGUGUGUGUACCAGCUCUAGACACUAAAGAGAAGGGAUCCCUCUUCUUCCUCUACAGACUCAGGUUGCAAAGCAAGGUCACCCCUAGCAGCUACCGGAAACCCUGGAGUGAGGCUGUCCCUCAGCCAACACUGCUUGUUUGUCAGACCCUGAAGUGAGCCUCUCGAGACAAACCUCAUUCUUCUUCCUCCUGUGUGACCUUGAACAAAUCACAUAAAGGCCGUAAGCCUCAGGAUUCUCCUCUGUGAAAUGCACGUUACCAACACUGGGGCUACGUGAGGUGAUGAAGUAACCGGUAUGAGAGGCCAGGUAAAGGCGGCGAGACCAUCAGAUAACACCAGAACUUGGGACUAGUACUUUAGGAACAUGGCCCCGCCCUGUCUUGGGGUGGGGAGAGGGCUCAGCCCGACUGUACAAGGGUAAAGACCUGGGCUCCAUCCCUAGAAUCCACAUAAAAAAGCUGUUUUCGGUGGCUGUGUUUGCAAUCCUAGCACUGGAGGGGGAGG